AUAUUCUUUAUCAUUUACGUGAUAAAAUUCAUUGAUAAUAAUGUAAGAUGUCAUCUCAUCAUGACUUGGUAAUGAUCUUGAUGAAUUCGUUGAAAUCGAUUGCAUCGAAGAUAUUCGAGAGAAUCAAUAUACAAUCGUAUAUAUGUAAUUGGUGUCUUUUAAUCAAAUAUUUGUAAGAUGGUUAAUAACCAGAGGAUUAUUUAGUGCACACGCUGUUUUCCAUUUCUAAUUGUCCUAAUGAAGCCUGGGAGGCAAGUUUUACUUUUUUCAAAAGCAGAGCUUGAGCUUCAGGUACUUUUCCAGCAUUUCCUUUCCAAAUCUUCAUUACUUCGUUCUUUAAAACAAACAAAAUUGAAAUAAAUUUCAUAUCUUUAUACGUGCAUUAAAUUAAAAUAACAUUUAUAAUUUUGAUGAUGGAUUAGAAUAUAAUGUACUUGUAAGGCACGCCCAUAACAAUACGUCAAUUGCCAAGGUUUUUUCCCUUCGUAAUUUGCAAUAGCAUUUAAAUUUAUCACAGAAUCUUCAUCCGUUUGACCACCACUUAGAAAUAUGACAGCUGGCACCGCUGGUGGUACUGUUCUUUGUAAAGCUAAUACCGUAUGUUCAGCCACGAUCUGUAAAUUUUUAAUAAUUUAAUGAUGAAAAAAUAUCGUAUAUUUUAUAAAAAUCUUCUUUUUUAUUGAGAAAUAAUAUCGAAUUAAAUUAAUAAUUUCGCUAAUAAAAAUAAAAUCUUAAGUUAUGAAAAAAAGAAAAGAAGUAAAAUUGUUUGAAGGAAUAAAAUGAAUCGUUAUACCUGC